GCUGAAAUCAAGAAUAGGUGCUCUAAUUUUCCUUUUUAAGUUAUAUUUGGUUUGAAGAGUGAAAUUGAGUCACAUGUUUACUAGUUCGGAGAAGUAAUCAUAGACCACAUGUUCCUCCCAUAAGGGUUUUGUUAGCUAGGUUUUAUGUUGCUGAUGUAGUUUUUAAUUCACGUUUUAAUUUAAUGAUCAUUUAUUCUUCUUGUUUUGAUUUUUCUAUAUAGGAUGGCGAGCCAACCGGCAA
rnacentral:misc_RNA from 1 species